CUUUCUGCGCAGGUUGGGAUGAGGAGCAAUGCUGCUUACUGGUGAGGUAUUGCACUUGUCCCGGCCUGUUGAGGACUA
rnacentral:pre_miRNA from 1 species